ensembl:lncRNA
AAUAGAUGUGGUCUCUGUACUCACAACUGUGGUUGUGGAAAUUUCAGUAGUUGAGGAUGCUGUAUUUACUGAUGUUGUUACAGGUGCAGUUGUUUCUGAAGAUGUAGGCAUAGUUGUUGAAGUAAGAGUUGUGGGUUCAGAAGUUACAGCUGUUGAUGUUGUUGGAUCGUCUGUUGCUGUAGAUGUGGUUGAUGAAGCUGUAUUCGUGGUUUCUGCUGUUGUACUUUCUGAAGUCAUAGGCAGUGUUGUUGAAGUAAUAGUUGUGGUUUCAGUCCUCACAACUGUGCUUGUGGGACUUUCAGUAGUUGAGUGUGCUGUAGUUACUGAUGUUGUUACAGUUGUUUCUGAAGAUGUAGGCAUAGUUGUUGAAGUAAGAGUUGUGGAUUCUGAAGUUACAGCUGUUGAUGUUGUUGGAUCGUUUGUUGUUGUAGACGUGGUUGAUGAAGCUUUAGUCGUGAUUUCCACUGUUGUACUUUCUGAAGUUGUAGGCAGUGUUGUUGAAGUAAUAGGUGUGGUCUCUGUACUCACAACUGCGGUUGUGGGAAUUUCAGUAGAUGUGGAAGCUGUAGUUACUGAUGUUGUUACAGGUGCAGUUGUUUCCGAAGAUGUAGGCAAAGUUGUUGAAAUAAGAUUUGUGGAUUCUGAAGUUACAGCAUUUGAUGUUGUUGGAUCGUUUGUUG